AGCUUUGCACAGUGGCGGUAUCGUAGCCAAUGAGGUCUAUCCGAGGAGCGAUUACCGCUCAUCGAAAACACAUUAAAGGAACUAAGAAUUCAUUAAGAAUUAAUAACAUUAACAUUAACUUAAUGUUAACAUU
ensembl:snRNA RNU4-89P RNA, U4 small nuclear 89, pseudogene